rnacentral:rRNA from 1 species
AGGACGAACGCUGGCGGCGUGCCUAACACAUGCAAGUCGAACGAGGUCCAUCUGGUAGCAAUACCAGUGAAGAUCAAGUGGCGAACGGGUGAGUAGCACGUGAGCAACCUGCCCCGAAGACCGGGACAACACCGGGAAACCGGUGCUAAUACCGGAUACCCCCACCGAGUCGCAUGGCUUGGUGAGGAAAUGGAUUCCGCUUCGGGAGGGGCUCGCGGCCUAUCAGCUUGUUGGUGAGGUAACGGCUCACCAAGGCUUCGACGGGUAGCUGGUCUGAGAGGACGAUCAGCCACACUGGGACUGAGACACGGCCCAGACUCCUACGGGAGGCAGCAGUGGGGAAUCUUGCACAAUGGGCGAAAGCCUGAUGCAGCAACGCCGCGUGAGGGACGAAGGCUUUCUGAGUUGUAAACCUCUUUCAGCAGGGACGAUUGUGACGGUACCUGCAGAAGAAGCUCCGGCCAACUACGCGCCAGCAGCCGCGGUAAU